rnacentral:sRNA from 1 species
AGCGAUGUAGUAGCUGCCAGGCUGUCCCCCGCCCUGCCCGGCCCGAGCCCCGCGGGCCGCCGCCGCCACCGCCGCCAUGAAGAAGCAGUUCAACCGCAUGAAGCAGCUGGCUAACCAGACCGUGGGCAGAGCUGAGAAAACAGAAGUCCUUAGUGAAGAUCUAUUACAGAUUGAGAGACGCCUGGACACGGUGCGGUCAAUAUGCCACCAUUCCCAUAAGCGCUUGGUGGCAUGUUUCCAGGGCCAGCAUGGCACCGAUGCCGAGAGGAGACACAAAAAACUGCCUCUGACAGCUCUUGCUCAAAAUAUGCAAGAAGCAUCGACUCAGCUGGAAGACUCUCUCCUGGGGAAGAUGCUGGAGACGUGUGGAGAUGCUGAGAAUCAGCUGGCUCUCGAGCUCUCCCAGCACGAAGUCUUUGUUGAGAAGGAGAUCGUGGACCCUCUGUACGGCAUAGCCGAGGUGGGUGCUUCCCCGUGCAGCACGGAAGAGCCGAGAGUGGUGUGGGCUGGACAGUGAGUGUGAAAAUUUUAACAGUAGUUGCUGGCUUUAACAUACACU